CCAGCCAAGAGCUCAAAUACAUCUAAAAAUGACCACACAAAGUAUCCUCUCACAUCCGAUCCAUUCCUGCAGAAAUGAACAAGGACCAUUGACACAUGCGCAGUAAAUUGGGGAAGUGAAAGUCAAGAAAGAAGGAUAAGAAGAAAGGGAUCUUAUUGAUUCAAGUUCAGGCUGCAUCUAAUACCUGCUAAAUUUUCUCAUAAAAAAUGUAAAUGUUUCAAACCUUUCUUCUUGUAUUGGCCUGCAAAAGAAUCAUGCUAUUUUUUUAUGACAAACAUGUAAACAUAUGCAGGCCGAAGCUCCACAUAAGCCAAACUCUUGGAACUUGCAAAAUGAAAUGGCAGCUUGGCUUGGCUUGAUAGCAAGCUCGCUGUGGUUUGGUAAUUUA